rnacentral:rRNA from 1 species
UACGAAGGGGGCUAGCGUUGCUCGGAAUCACUGGGCGUAAAGGGUGCGUAGGCGGGUCUUUAAGUCAGGGGUGAAAUCCUGGAGCUCAACUCCAGAACUGCCUUUGAUACUGAAGAUCUUGAGUUCGGGAGAGGGAUGCGGAAUUCCAGGUGUAGCGGUGAAAUGCGUAGAUAUCUGGAGGAACACCGGUGGCGAAGGCGGCAUCCUGGACCGACACUGACGCUGAGGAGCGAAAGCCAGGGGAGCAAACGGG